ensembl:lncRNA
ACAGGUAUAAGAGGGAAUUUUGUCGCAUUUAAAGCUAAAGAUGCACAGGCAUCCUCCUCUCUGAGACCUUCCAUUGUCUCUACUGCCACUAAUUUGUGCUCCAUUUCCACGUCCCCAGCAGCGUGUACACCAAUUCCUCUGGAAGAGCCCACCACUUUCCAGCAGGUGACAAAUACGCCUGGUCGGUUUUCUUCUCAGACCAUCAACACCGUGGAAUGCAUGCUAAGAAAGAUGAGGCCACCCCGUGUGGUCAUCUGUUCUAGGGAGCUCAGUGUGAGACCAGUGCACCCGAGGAGGCAAAGCGGCCAGUUGUUCGUGAUACCCACACCUCUUGCAUCUUCCAUUAACAAAGAUCUGUAACUGCCAGAGUGCAAGUAUGGGUUAAGGGACCCAAGCUCUCAGCCCUGAAGAAGCCUCCUCCUGGCAAAUUCCACACCACCAAGGCAACACCUGAGCACUUUAAAAAUAACGCCUCUGAAGUUUCCGCUUGUGGCUCAGCAGGUUACCAGCUUGACUAGUAUCCAUGAGGAUGCGGGUUCCAACCCUAGCCUUGCUCAGUGGGUUAAGGAUCCGGCAUUCCUGUGAGCUGUGGUGUAGGUCGAAGACGUGGCUCAGAUCUGGCGCUGCUGUGGCUGUAGCGUAGGCCCCAGCUGUAGCUCCAAUUUGACCCCUAGCCUGGGAACUUCCAUAUGCUGCAAGUGCGGCCCUAAAAAGGAAAAAUAAAUAAAUAAGUAAAUAGAUAAAUAAAUAAAUA